rnacentral:tRNA from 1 species
GCGGGCGUAGCUCAGCUGGUAGAGCAUCGGUUUGUGGUACCGAAUGUCGCGGGUUCGAGCCCCGUCGCUCGCCCCA